rnacentral:lncRNA from 1 species
GAUUGGCUACCUCCUCAUAACCAUAAGAUAAUUAAAACUUGGCGGGGGGGGGGGGCAGGGUUAAAAAAACUUUUUUUAUCAGUCAGAGGAUAAUGCAAGUGUUUAACAGAUGCUUCACUAUUAAAAUAUUUUCCCCCCAAGUCUCAAAUAUUGAAGAAUCUCUAACCAGGGACACCAGUCCCUACGAAGACCUUGGGCGAUUUUGAAGUGCGGGCACCUCGAUUCCCCGAAUCUGUAGUGUGGCUGGUAUCGGUGUUCCCCUGGUUUAACUAGCCUGUUUGGCACAACAAAUGAGACCCAAGUGCUCAUAGAACAUUCCAAAGAGUCAACAGAGAGAAGUGGAAAGUAUUAGAAACAUGAUUGUGUUUGCAAAGGGAGACAUAAACAUGGGGAAAUUGAGGCAGAGAAGCCAAGACAUGUGCUAAAGGUCAUGCAGGCUAUGAAUGGAGCUGGAAUGUGAACGCAGGCCAUAUGACCCCAGAGCCCAUGUUCUUGAACCCUUAGAAAGACAGCAGCAACACACCUGGUGCAGCAGCUGCUUAGUUGGAGUGGCUGACAAGAGAUCCUGGCAAAUGGGUGUUUCUUCCCAGAAAGGGAUUUUUCUCCAUGACUGCAGUUGAAUUGCAGAGUUGUAGAGACAUCCAGGUUCUUGUUAGUGUGGACGAACUAUCCAUGAAGAUCUUAAAUGCAGGAGUCUAUGAGAACACCAAUUAAUCAAUUGUCAAAUAUUUGAGUAUCUAUUG